AAAAGCCAAAGAAAGCUUAACUUGGUUUUAUGAACUCCUCAUGCAUUUAAAUGGAUAGACAAAUAGACUGCUAAUUUAGCCCUGUAGCCAGGCUAAUGUUACUAGCUAAAUAACAGUCUCAUCCAAAUCACCAUGGCCCUGAUGAGUGACGUGAAGCUUGAGACAGGAUGAUCAUGGUGAAGAAGCAGACAGCCCAGAACUGAGGGCAGGGGAGCAGGGACACUGCCUGAGGGUACACUAUGAAGACCAGGCCAGGACCUUCAGC